UCGCCACGGUAAUACCAGCUCUCCGAGUGGUAGGGACGAUUAUUGGGCCUGAAGCGUCCGUAGCCGGCUAAGCAAGUUUCCCCGUUAAAUCCAACGAUCUAAAUCGCUGGACUGCGGGAAAAUACUGUUUGGCUAGGGGGCGGGAGAGGCCAACGGUAUUUCCGGGGUAGGGUGAAAUCUUAUAAUCCCGGGAGGACCACCAGUGGCGAAGGC
rnacentral:rRNA from 1 species